CACGUAGGGUGCGAGCGUUGUCCGGAAUUAUUGGGCGUAAAGAGCUCGUAGGCGGUGUGUCGCGUCGGCCGUGAAAACCUGCAGCUUAACUGUGGGCGUGCGGUCGAUACGGGCAUCACUGGAGUUCGGCAGGGGAGACUGGAAUUCCUGGUGUAGCGGUGAAAUGCGCAGAUAUCAGGAGGAACACCGGUGGCGAAGGCGGGUCUCUGGGCCGAAACUGACGCUGAGGCGCGAAAGCGUGGGGAGCAAACAGG
rnacentral:rRNA from 1 species